rnacentral:lncRNA from 1 species
CCUGCACAUAGGUCAAUCAUUGUGGUUACUAGUUCUGUGUCCCCUGAGCAGUCUGGCUGGCUGGCACUGUCCUUGCUCUCUAGGAAUUGCUGUCUGAAAUGUAUAUAUAGCAUGAUGCAUCUCGGCAAUCUGCAAAAUAGGAUUUGGUGACAAAAACCUCAACUAUGUGGUGGAACAAGAAUUCAAACACAGGCCUCCCUGCUUCUGGUGCCCAUAAACUUUUAUCUUCAAGGGAUCACCAAAAUAUAAACUCCAGUACCAACCAAACUUGAGUCUAUCCAUGGAAUCGUAGAAAAAGAAUAAUCACAUAAUUGCUGCCAGAUUCCAUCAAAGAGCUCUUUAUUCAGGGAAGAUGCUGCCUUGCCCAGCUUAUGUGAGUUUCCCUGUGACUUCUCAGAAAUAUCAUUUGUGUAGAAUGAAGUCUGUGUCUGCCCAUUAGAAUAAGAUUCCAUUAAAUAACUAAAUCAUAUUCCACGUUCAUCCAGCUACUUCCUGAUGAUUUGGCUUUCCUGAUAGUUUUCUAAGAAAAGAGAAUCUGUUGGUCAGUUUAGUGGAGUGUCAUUGGUUGACACUUGCUGUAUAUUAAUUAGGUGGUUUAUUUAUCA